rnacentral:rRNA from 1 species
CUAGACUCCUACGGGAGGCAGCAGUGGGGGAUAUUGGACAAUGGGGGAAACCCUGAUCCAGCGACGCCGCGUGAGUGAAGAAGUAUUUCGGUAUGUAAAGCUCUGUCAGCAGGGAAGAAAGAAAUGACGGUACCUGACCAAGAAGCCCCGGCUAACUACGUGCCAGCAGCCGCGGUAAUACGUAGGGGGCAAGCGUUAUCCGGAAUUACUGGGCGUAAAGCGCUCGUAGGCGGUAUGUCAAGUCAAGGGUGAAAUCCCCGCGCUCAACGUGGGAACUGCCUUUGAAACUGGCAAACUGGAGUGUGUGAGAGGAUAGUGGAAUUCCAGGUGUAGGAGUGAAAUCCGUAGAUAUCUGGAGGAACAUCAGUGGCGAAGGCGACUAUCUGGCACAUAACUGACGCUGAGGAGCGAAAGCGUGGGUAGCAAACAGGAUUAGAUACCCUCGUA